ensembl:lncRNA LOC102555576 uncharacterized LOC102555576
CUCAGCUCUUCCUGCACCAUGCCUGCCUGGAUGCUGCCAUGUUCCUGCCUUCAUGAUAAUGGACUGAACCUCUGAACCGGUCUUCUGUCUGGUGGCACAGCCCGCUGCCCCAUAGCUCACUGCAAGCUCAUGACUUGGAAGGAAAGAACCAACUCCAGGACAUUGUGGGGUGACCUCCACGUGCGCAGUGACACUUGUAUGCCCAUACACAUUCAUACAUGCCCGCAGAACAAAGAAAGGCAAAGGAAUCAGCGGGGGCAGCAGCACAGGGGCAAAUGAACUUAGAGGCAAGACAGCAGAAGGUGGGAUGGUCUUCCCUCCAUUUUUUAUCUGGACGCUCCGUGAAGAAGCUCUCCCCACAAUGCAUAUGGAGAAAACACUCACAUGUCAGCUCCUCUCUGCUCUGCCAGCUGGAUUUCCCAGGAAUAAGCAAUUUUGUUUGGAGC